rnacentral:rRNA from 1 species
GACGAACGCUGGCGGCGUGCCUAAUACAUGCAAGUAGAACGCACAGUUUAUACCGUAGCUUGCUACACCAUAGACUGUGAGUUGCGAACGGGUGAGUAACGCGUAGGUAACCUGCCUGGUAGCGGGGGAUACUAUUGGAAACGAUAGCUAAUACCGCAUAAUAUUAAUUAUUUCAUGAUAAUUAAUUGAAAGGUGCAAUUGCACCACUACCAGAUGGACCUGCGUUGUAUUAGCUAGUAGGUGAGGUAACGGCUCACCUAGGCGACGAUACAUAGCCGACCUGAGAGGGUGAUCGGCCACACUGGGACUGAGACACGGCCCAGACUCCUACGGGAGGCAGCAGUAGGGAAUCUUCGGCAAUGGACGAAAGUCUGACCGAGCAACGCCGCGUGAGUGAAGAAGGUUUUCGGAUCGUAAAGCUCUGUUGUAAGAGAAGAACGGGUGUGAGAGUGGAAAGUUCACACUGUGACGGUAUCUUACCAGAAAGGGACGGCUAACUACGUG